GGAGAGGUGGCAGAGUGGUUGAAUGCGACUGACUCGAAAUCAGUUGUGGCGGCAACGUCACCGGAGGUUCAAAUCCUCUCCUCUCCG
rnacentral:tRNA from 14 species